rnacentral:rRNA from 1 species
GCAAGGAAUAUUGCACAAUGGGGGAAACCCUGAUGCAGCAACGCCGCGUGGGCGAAGAAGGCCUUCGGGUUGUAAAGCCCUUUGGUGAGGGAAGAGCAAGGACGGUACCUCACAAACAAGUCUCGGCUAACUACGUGCCAGCAGCCGCGGUAAAACGUAGGAGGCGAGCGUUAUCCGGAUUUACUGGGCGUAAAGGGCAAGUAGGCGGCCGCCAAAGUUGGGCGUGACAUCUCCUGGCUUAACUGGGAGGGGUCGUCCAAAACUAGGGGGCUUGAGGGCAGGAGAGGGGAGUGGAAUUCCUAGUGUAGCGGUGGAAUGCUUAGAGAUUAGGAAGAACACCAGUGGCGAAGGCGGCUCUCUGGCCUGCACCUGACGCUGAGAGGCGAAAGCUAGGGGAGCGAACGGGCUUAGAAACCCCAGUAGUCC